rnacentral:rRNA from 1 species
GACGAACGCUGGCGGCGUGCUUAACACAUGCAAGUCGAACGAAGAGCGAUGGAAGCUUGCUUCUAUCAAUCUUAGUGGCGCACGGGUGAGUAACGCGUAAUCAACCUGCCCUUCAGAGGGGGACAACAGUUGGAAACGACUGCUAAUACCGCAUACGAUCUAAUCUCGGCAUCGAGGAUAGAUGAAAGGUGGCCUCUACAUGUAAGCUAUCACUGAAGGAGGGGAUUGCGUCUGAUUAGCUAGUUGGAGGGGUAACGGCCCACCAAGGCGAUGAUCAGUAGCCGGUCUGAGAGGAUGAACGGCCACAUUGGGACUGAGACACGGCCCAGACUCCUACGGGAGGCAGCAGUGGGGAAUCUUCCGCAAUGGACGAAAGUCUGACGGAGCAACGCCGCGUGAGUGAUGACGGCCGUCGGGUUGUAAAGCUCUGUUAAUCGGGACGAAAGGCCUUCUUGCGAAUAGGGAGAAGGAUUGACGGUACCGGAAUAGAAAGCCACGGCUAACUACGUG